GUUGGGUAGGGGAGCGUUCUGUAAGCCUGCGAAGGUGGCCUGUGAGGGUUGCUGGAGGUAUCAGAAGUGCGAAUGCUGACAUAAGUAACGAUAAAGCGGGUGAAAAGCCCGCUCGCCGGAAGACCAAGGGUUCCUGUCCAACGUUAAUCGGGGCAGGGUGAGUCGACCCCUAAGGCGAGGCCGAAAGGCGUAGUCGAUGGGAAACGGGUUAAUAUUCCCGUACUUGGUGUUACUGCGAAGGGGGGACGGAGAAGGCUAUGUUGGCCGGGCGACGGUUGUCCCGGUUUAAGCGUGUAGGUGUGUGUUCCAGGUAAAUCCGGUUCACUUUAACACUGAGGCGUGAUGACGAGGCACUACGGUGCUGAAGCAACAAAUGCCCUGCUUCCAGGAAAAGCCUCUAAGCAUCAGGUAACAUCAAAUCGUACCCCAAACCGACACAGGUGGUCAGGUAGAGAAUACCAAGGCGCUUGAGAGAACUCGGGUGAAGGAACUAGGCAAAAUGGUGCCGUAACUUCGGGAGAAGGCACGCUGACAUGUAGGUGAAGUGAUUUACUCAUGGAGCUGAAGUCAGUCGAAGAUACCAGCUGGCUGCAACUGUUUAUUAAAAACACAGCACUGUGCAAACACGAAAGUGGACGUAUACGGUGUGACGCCUGCCCGGUGCCGGAAGGUUAAUUGAUGGGGUCAGCGCAAGCGAAGCUCCUGAUCGAAGCCCCGGUAAACGGCGGCCGUAACUAUAACGGUCCUAAGGUAGCGAAAUUCCUUGUCGGGUAAGUUCCGACCUGCACGAAUGGCGUAAUGAUGGCCAGGCUGUCUCCACCCGAGACUCAGUGAAAUUGAACUCGCUGUGAAGAUGCAGUGUACCCGCGGCAAGACGGAAAGACCCCGUGAACCUUUACUAUAGCUUGACACUGAACAUUGAGCCUUGAUGUGUAGGAUAGGUGGGAGGCUUUGAAGCGUGGACGCCAGUCUGCGUGGAGCCGACCUUGAAAUACCACCCUUUAAUGUUUGAUGUUCUAACGUGGACCCGUGAUCCGGGUUGCGGACAGUGUCUGGUGGGUAGUUUGACUGGGGCGGUCUCCUCCUAAAGAGUAACGGAGGAGCACGAAGGUUGGCUAAUCCUGGUCGGACAUCAGGAGGUUAGUGCAAUGGCAUAAGCCAGCUUGACUGCGAGCGUGACGGCGCGAGCAGGUGCGAAAGCAGGUCAUAGUGAUCCGGUGGUUCUGAAUGGAAGGGCCAUCGCUCAACGGAUAAAAGGUACUCCGGGGAUAACAGGCUGAUACCGCCCAAGAGUUCAUAUCGACGGCGGUGUUUGGCACCUCGAUGUCGGCUCAUCACAUCCUGGGGCUGAAGUAGGUCCCAAGGGUAUGGCUGUUCGCCAUUUAAAGUGGUACGCGAGCUGGGUUUAGAACGUCGUGAGACAGUUCGGUCCCUAUCUGCCGUGGGCGCUGGAGAACUGAGGGGGGCUGCUCCUAGUACGAGAGGACCGGAGUGGACGCAUCACUGGUGUUCGGGUUGUCAUGCCAAUGGCACUGCCCGGUAGCUAAAUGCGGAAGAGAUAAGUGCUGAAAGCAUCUAAGCACGAAACUUGCCCCGAGAUGAGUUCU
rnacentral:rRNA from 1 species